UGGGGAAUCUUGGACAAUGGGCGCAAGCCUGAUCCAGCCAUGCCGCGUGAGUGAAGAAGGCCUUAGGGUUGUAAAGCUCUUUCAGGGGUGAGGAUUAUGACAGUAACCCCAGAAGAAGCACCGGCUAACUUCGUGCCAGCAGCCGCGGUAAUACGAAGGGUGCAAGCGUUGUUCGGAAUCACUGGGCGUAAAGGGCGUGUAGGCGGACUGACAAGUUAGAGGUGAAAGCCCCGGGCUCAACCUGGGAACUGCCUUUAAAACUGUUAGUCUAGAAUCCGGGAGGGGAAUGUGGAAUUCCUAGUGUAGAGGUGAAAUUCGUAGAUAUUAGGAAGAACACCGAUGGCGAAGGCAACAUUCUGGACCGGUAUUGACGCUGAGGCGCGAAAGCGUGGGGAGCAAACAGGAUUAGAUACCCCCGUAGUCC
rnacentral:rRNA from 1 species